UGAUUGAGUUGAAGUCGUAACAAGGUAGCCGUAGGAGAACCUGCGGCUGGAUCACCUCCUUUCUAAGGAGA
rnacentral:rRNA from 1 species